AUCGUUCAACUUCUUAGGAAGUCGGAAGUAGGUGAAAACCGAAGGAACGCACC
ncrna:unclassified sequences Glutamine riboswitch